UACGUAGGGGGCAAGCGUUGUCCGGAUUUAUUGGGCGUAAAGCGCUCGCAGGUGGUCCGUUGCGUCGUGCGUGAAAGACCCCGGCCUCAACUGGGGAGUGUCGGUGCGAUACGGGCGGACUGGAGGGCCAGUAGGGGGAUGCGGAAUUCCGGGUGAGUGGUGGAAUGCGUAGAGAUCCGGAGGAACACCAGCGGCGAAGGCGGAGCAUCCUGGA
rnacentral:rRNA from 1 species